UGAUAGCUAUGAAGCGUGAGGUUGCUACAUUAAUAAAAUGUAGGUUUUCCGUGGAGCGAAUGUCAAGUUCAGGAAACUGGCGACAA
rfam:Eubacterium uniforme strain ATCC 35992 genome assembly, contig: EI43DRAFT_scaffold00002.2